rnacentral:rRNA from 1 species
CCUACGGGGUGCAGCAGUGGAGAAUAUUGGGCAAUGGGCGCAAGCCUGACCCAGCAACGCCGCGUGAAGGAAGAAGGCUUUCGGGUUGUAAACUUCUUUUGUCAGGGAAGAGUAGAAGACGGUACCUGACGAAUAAGCCACGGCUAACUACGUGCCAGCAGCCGCGGUAAUACGUAGGUGGCAAGCGUUGUCCGGAUUUACUGGGUGUAAAGGGCGUGUAGCCGGGUUGACAAGUCAGAUGUGAAAUCCUGCGGCUUAACCGCAGAACUGCAUUUGAAACUGUUGAUCUUGAGUACUGGAGAGGCAGACGGAAUUCCUAGUGUAGCGGUGAAAUGCGUAGAUAUUAGGAGGAACACCAGUGGCGAAGGCGGUCUGCUGGACAGCAACUGACGGUGAGGCGCGAAAGCGUGGGGAGCAAACAGGAUUAGAUACCCCAGUAGUC